rnacentral:rRNA from 1 species
ACCACGGUGAAAUGACGGAGUCGUCGGCCCCCGCGCCGGCGACUCGCCGAAUGAGUUUCUGACCUAUCAACUCGAGACGGCGGGGUAGAGGCCCGCCGCGGUAACGACGGGUAACGGGGAAUCAGGGUUCGAUUCCGGAGAGGGAGCCCGAGAAACGGCUACCACUUCCAAGGAAGGCAGCAGGCGCGCAACUUACCCUAAUCUCGAUUCGAGGAGGUAGUGACAAGAAAUACCGAUGCGGGACCCUACGGGUGCCGCGUUCGGAAUGAGUACGAUUCGAACCACCUAACGAGGAACGAUCGAGGGCAAGUCUGGUGGCCAGCAGCCGCGGUAAUUCCAGCUCCAAUAGCGUACGUUAAAAGUUGCUGCAGUUAAAAAAGCUCGUAGUUGAACGUUCGGGUUCCGCGGGACGGGGCCGCCCCGCGAGGGACGGCGCCGCCCGGGC